GGUUGCCACAUUCUACAGAUUACUAAUGACGAUUUAGCUCUAUUGCGGGGCAGGAGUGCAGAGACGCAGAUUACACUGCCAAAUGACCACCGGCAGGCUCGUUCACAAACAGCUUCUAAGGUUGCAGCUGGCACUGCCUGCAGCCGUAUAGCAGACGUUACACUCUCUUUCCUAACUAGUAAUCAUGUGUCUCGUAACAACUACAGUGUUUGGAACAAUUGUACAGCUUUGGCCUUAUCUCCUGAUGUUUUUCUGAUUUGUGGGGAUAGGGCCUGGCAAGGUAUCGCUGCAAAUGCUAUCAGAUGUCCAUGUUACUUAGAUAAACUCAUUGUGUUUGCUCCUAGCUUGUUACAGUUGCGUGAGAUCACCAGACAUAAAUGGGCAUUGCUUGCACCGGAUUGCAGUGAUAAUGUUGAAUUGUGCGGGGUUGCAGCUAGAGCGGCAUUGACAAUUUUAGUGCCUGGAGUGGCAUCUGUGGCCGCAUGGAACGACUUAGAAAAAUUGGUAUGCUGGGCCAAGAAGCAAGCCUAUGCCACAACAGAGAUACUUGAGGAGAUGUUACCAGAUCAAAAUAGUCUGCGACAUCUGCUUCUACAGGAUCAAGCUGCUAUUGACAUCUUGCUUUUGGCUCAAAGGAAUGGGUGUGAGGACUUUAAGGGAAUGUACUGUUUAAAUCUUUUUGAUCAUAAUGAGUCAAUUCACAAAUCCAUUACUUUCCUGAAAGAGCACAUGAGAAAGAUUCAAUAUGGUAUCAAUCCUUUCAAUCAAUGGUUCACUGAUUUGUUUGAAACAAUGCAUAGAUGGUUACUGGGAUUAGUCAAAGAGAGAUUAAGGAUUCUGUUUGCUGUGGUGUCAAUCAUCAUUGCAUGUGGUAUUGUGAUAAAUGUGGUUAAAGUGUUACUUGCAAAAAUGUUAUAUUGGGCAUGGUUUGCUCAAAAAAGAAAAAAAAAGGGGGGGGAAUUCUUGUGUGAAACACUGUCCACCCUUGUUAAGUUCACUAUAAAAGUUGGGCUAUUUGGGCAAUAAAAUGGAGCAUGAUCUGACUCUGCUGGUGUCUGUUGUGCUUUUGGCCGUGCUUCCUGCAAUAUCACAGCACUUUUUGAUGCCAUUGGCUACGGCUUGCCUCUUACGGAUUUGAAGAU
rnacentral:lncRNA from 1 species